GAGUUUGAUCAUGGCUCAGAUUGAACGCUGGCGGCAGGCCUAACACAUGCAAGUCGAGCGGAAACGAUCCUAGCUUGCUAGGAGGCGUCGAGCGGCGGACGGGUGAGUAAUGCAUAGGAAUCUGCCCGGUAGUGGGGGAUAACUUGAGGAAACUCAAGCUAAUACCGCAUACGCCCUACGGGGGAAAGCAGGGGCUCUUCGGACCUUGCGCUAUCGGAUGAGCUUAUGUCGGAUUAGCUAGUUGGUGAGGUAAUGGCUCACCAAGGCGACGAUCCGUAGCUGGUCUGAGAGGAUGAUCAGCCACAUCGGGACUGAGACACGGCCCGAACUCCUACGGGAGGCAGCAGUGGGGAAUAUUGGACAAUGGGGGCAACCCUGAUCCAGCCAUGCCGCGUGUGUGAAGAAGGCCCUCGGGUUGUAAAGCACUUUCAGCGAGGAAGAAUGCUUGUCGGUUAAUACCCGGCAAGGGAGACAUCACUCGCAGAAGAAGCACCGGCUAACUCCGUGCCAGCAGACGCGGUAAUACGGAGGGUGCGAGCGUUAAUCGGAAUUACUGGGCGUAA
rnacentral:rRNA from 1 species